ACCCCUCCCUGUGCGAGUGUCUCCCUCUCCCUCUCGCUCCCUCUCUCUCUCUCCCUCUCUCUCUUUUGUGAGUUAUAGCAACCGUUGCCUUGUGAAUCAAGCGCCAUAGUCACCGUAGUCCUGGCGACUGUUACCCAUCAACAACAACUACUCCUCUCCUCCUCCUCCUCCUCUUCCUCCUCCUCCUCCCCACCACCACCAUCUCCAUCACCCACCAACAACACCACAAUAAUCCACAGCCAAGGCCACUUGGUCAUUCUGGCAUUUUAUGCUAGAGAAUACAUUGAGUUUGGCUCAUGGAAAAGAUAUGAGUCCCAGCACAGUUGAAGAAUAUAGCACAGUUGCAUCAGUAAUGAUGGCUCACUCAUCUGGGAGCAUCUCUCUGGGUGAGAAUAAGUAAUAUUUUAAAAGUCCUCCAAGUAAUUCUGAUAUGGCAUACUUCCUUUCCAUUAUAAGUAACAAAUUUAAGUCAUAGAUUCCUAGAAUUUUGUGAUUAGUGUUAUUAGGAGAUUAUAAUGAUUAAAAUGGAAUCUACUCUUGUGAGAUUAUUUUGUUUCUUGAACAAGUUAUAGUGAACUUUAUGUAUAACCUUACCAGAGUCUUGAAUAUUAUAAGGUACCAGAGUCUUGAAUAUUGUAAAGCACAGUAGUAUUAACUCUGUGCCCAUUGUUGUGUCAAACAGACCUCUAGAAUUUUCUCAGCUUGCAAAACAAACGUUACAUCCAUGAAGAAUCAUUAUCCUUUUCCCCUUCCCUUCAGUCUCUAGUAACCACCAUUUUCCUUUCUUUUUCCAAGGCAUUUACUAUUUUGGAUAACUCAUAAAAGUGGAAUCAUGUAGUAUUUGUGUUUUUGUGACUGUCUUACUUCACUUAGCAUAAUGUCCUCAAGGUUUAUCCAUAUUGUUGCAUGUGACAGGACAGCCUUCUUUUUAAAGGCAGAAUAAUGUUCCAUUGUACAGGCAUACCUUGUUUUUAUUGCACUUCACUUUAUUGUGCUUCUCAAGUAUUGCAUUUGUUUUUUCUUUACAAAUUGAAGGUUUGUGGCAACCCUGAAUCAAGCAAGUUAUUGGUGCCAUUUUUUCAACAGUAUUUGCUCACUAUUUGUGUCACAGUUUGGUUAUUCUCCCAAUAUUUCAAGGUUUUUAAUUAUUAUUGUGUUUGUUAUGGUCACUUGUUCUUACUGCAAAAGGUUAUGACUUGCUGAAUGCUCAGAUGGUGAUUAGCUCUUUUAAGCAAUAAAGCACUUUUUAAUUAGGGUAUAUGCAUUUUUAGACAUAGUGCUAUCACACACUUAAUGGACUACAAAAAUAUAGUGUAAAUGUAACUUUUAUAUGCAUUAGAAAACCAAAAAUUAAUUUGACUCACUUUAUUACAGUGGUCUGAAACUAAACCCAGACUAUUUCCCAGUUCUUUAUUUAUAUAUUGACAGACAUUUAUUGCUUUCACUUCUUGGCUAUUAUGAAUAAUGCUGCCUUGAAGAUGGGUGUAAAAUAUCUUUUCAAGAUCCUGUUUUCAGUUCUUUUGGAUAUAUACUUAGAGGUGGGAUUGCUGGAUUAUUUGGUAAUUCUGUUUUUAAUUUUUAAGGAAUCUCCAUACUAUUUUUUUCAUACUAUUUUCGUAAGAAUUGCACUAUUUUACAUUUCCCCAACAGUGCACAAGGGUUCCAAUUUCUCUACAUCUUCAUCAACACUUGUUUAUUUUCUGUUUUUUGUUUUUGUUUUGAUUUUUUUUUUUUUUUUUUUGGUUUCAUAGUGGCCACCCUAACCAUUCCUAGGUUUUUAACUCCCUGCUAACAUGUUAGGUCUUUAUUUCUAAAUCGCUUUCUAAAGAAACAGAAUAGUUAUUUAGGAGAUUUCCUAUAAUUAUUACAAAUCUUUACACUGUUCCCUGACUUCAAAUACUAGAAUACCAACGGGAGCUAGUGUCCUAAACAUUUCAGAUUGAGCGUAUAAAACUGGACAUUUGAAUUCCUUCAUACUUUAACAUAAAUGGUCCUCUUUGCUUUUGGAAUUCAUAUGAUAUAUUACACAUCAUCACCUUAUAAGGCAGCAAUAAGAUGCCUUUGUCUCUACUUCCAGGUUCUAAAGCUUGCUUUAAUGGGAUAAUUACAAUGGUCCUGUAAUAUAUAAUGUAUAUAUAUCAUUAUAAUGUAUAUAUAACAUUAUAACAUAUAUAACAUUAUAACAUUACUGGAUGUCUUGUCUUCUCUUGUUUCCAAGCAGUCCAUAAUUGUCUCAUCUUUGGAUGCAUUACUUCAGUGUAUACUUAAUAUGCUGCUUUGAAUCUCUCUCAACAUAGUUUUCUUCAUUUCACUUUCCCUGCUGCAUCUGCUUGUGAAUCUUUCUGUCAUCCAUUUUCAACAGAUUUCUUGCCUAAGUGGGGUUGUGUUGCCAACAAAUUUGCUUCAGUGCUGGUAGAGCAGCUCUCUUCCAGUGCCCUAUAUUUGAUAAUCUAGCCAUUUAAUAGUACAGCUUAUGGAUAUUGAAGACAGCAGAUAUAAUACUUAUAAUCCAUCUAGUCCUCACAGUUGACCAAGUUUGGGCAUUUUCUCUUCUGCAUACAUUUAGAUUGAUUGGGAACCCAGUGUUUUUUCUAACUUGUCUUUGACACUUCCAAAGAUCAUACUGCAAUGUUGUAAGGCUGGGGGGAAAAAAAAACUUUGAAUUUGGGGGGCAGAUUUAUAUUUAAGUCUUGACUCGGCUGCUUGACUACAUUUAGAGAUGUUUCUUAUCCUCUCUGAGUCAGAAAUCUCACAUGUAAAUUGCAGAUAGUGAUACAUAACCUUUUAUUUUAAAGCCUUCAUUGAUAUCAUAGCUUAUGUUUUUAGGAAGUUUUUUUUUAGCUGAUUCUGUCAUGUUAGAAUUUUCCUCUUACAAGUAAUGAAUGUAAAGGGGUUUUUUAGACUUCAGUACUACUGUUACAGCCCCUAUCUGACAGGAGAUUUGUUCUGAUGAGUUUGGUUCUCAUAAUUUGUCUAUUAAUUGAAAAAACCAGUUAAAAUAGAACUUAAAAGAAGUUCCCGUCCUGACUCAAUGGUAACGAACCCUGACUAGUAUCCAUAAGGACGUGGAUUCGAUACCUGGCCUUUCCUAGUAGGUUAAGGAUCCGGGGUUGCCAUGAGCUGUGGUGUAGGUCACAGAUUCGGCUUGGAUUUGGCAUUGUGCUGGCUGGCUGUGGCUAGGCCAGCAGCUACAGCUCCAAUUCGACCCCUAGUCUGGGAACUUCCAUACACACAUGUGGCCCUAAAAAGACAAAAACAGGUCAUAAAAGAUAAUGUAUUCAUCCCAUUAACUUUUUAACUCAA
rnacentral:lncRNA from 1 species